GAUGAACGCUGGCGGCGUGCCUAAUACAUGCAAGUCGAGCGAAUGGAUUAAGAGCUUGCUUUUAUGAAGUUAGCGGCGGACGGGUGAGUAACACGUGGGUAACCUGCCCAUAAGACUGGGAUAACUCCGGGAAACCGGGGCUAAUACCGGAUAACAUUUUGAACCGCAUGGUUCGAAAUUGACAGGCGGCUUCGGCUGUCACUUAUGGAUGGACCCGCGUCGCAUUAGCUAGUUGGUGAGGUAACGGCUCACCAAGGCAACGAUGCGGAGCCGGACUGGGAGGGUGAUCGGCCACACUGGGACUGAGACACGGCCCAGACUCCUACGGGUGGCAGCAGUAGGGAAUCUUCCGCAAUGGACGAAAGUCUGACGGAGCAACGCCGCGUGAGUGAUGAAGGCUUUCGGGUCGUAAAACUCUGUUGUUAGGGAAGAACAAGUGCUAGUUGAAUAAGCUGACACCUUGACGGUACCUAACCAGAAAGCCACGGCUAACUACGUGCCAGCAGCCGCCGUAA
rnacentral:rRNA from 1 species